UCACAUCAGUGUUUGCUUCAGAAGAACUCAUUCCUUGAACUACAACAGUCAAGAUUUUAUUCACGUUAUCUUGAUCUACGGCAUCAGGAGAAACUUCCUCGCACAAAUACCCAAGAGUCUCCAAUGUUGCUUCCUUGACAUGAGCAGGUAGCUGAUGAAUAUUCGACAAAAGGGAUCCAAUCAGUUCAGGCCACUGUUUCUGGGGGAGCUCAAUUCCAGCAACUUUGGCAAUUACUUGAGAUGCAGGUUUGCGAGCAUCAGGUACAAGAGACGAGAGUGUCUUCAACAAGCAUGAUUUUAUCUGAGCCUUCACAGUAGCAUCCAACAUCAACCAUCUUUGAACAAGCUCAAACUUCCUAUGCUGCUCCUUAGCAUCCAGUGCAUUUUUCAACAUCAAACCAGCUAAUCUGCGGCUAUCAGCAGGUUUAUCUUCAUUGGCAAGCUCACCAGAGAGAGAAAACAAGAAAGCAGGGAGAUUCUGCUCUUGGAACUGAUUCAAGCUCUCCUCAGCUUGCUUCUGAACAUUGCGAUCAAUCGAUUGUGCAUUCAGAAGCACCUGCGUCACCUCCAUGGCCAUGAUCUAUCUGUACAAUUGGAACAUGUAAGCGUGGACUGAUAAUGCUACAUAAAAGUUCAGGAGCAGGCAGUACGUAUCGAUAACUAGUAUUAUAUCGUCAAGAGAAACAUAACAAAAGGGUUACAUCCUAUAGCAGCUGACAAGACCCACCUUUCAAUAAGCACACCCACGAUCAGAUAGGUUGGUUCAGAUAAAAAAACGAAUGAAAACGAAUUCAAAACAUAUUUUCAAGUGAAUAUCAGUCUACUGAAAGAGCUCUGCUUAGAGUUGGUUGGAAAAGAUUGCAAUUUUUUCGAGCGGAUAAAUCAUAUCAAAUUACCCAAAUCAAAAUUGACUGAGUCCAACAUCUCGAAGUAAGAUUCCACAAAUAAAAUAGCGAACAAGAAAUUGAAAUCAACAACCAUAUAUCAACAUCGCAACUAACACUGUAAGUUAAGCACAUCCCCAACUAAGAAGGAGUACCCAAUCCGGAUCAUGGCGAAAGAGGAAGAAAAAAACUCGGAGAACCGAAACCCAAUCACUACAAGCUAAUACAUAGUUCGACAAAGAGGCAUUCAGAUUGAGAAGUAUGGUAAGAAGAGCAGACGAGCAGGAUAGUGCGAACCAAACAAAAAAAAGCCGAAUCGGAUAGUAGGAACACUAGAAAAAGAUCAAACUUCCGCCCAAAAACAAAUGAAUAGAGAAUCGAAAAGCGGAAGUAGAAUCAAGGCAAGGAGAGUGCUACUUACGGAAUUUGAAAAGCUGAAAGGGAGGAAAAUUGUCCGGUGGCAGAUCAGAGAUGCGACGGCGAGGCUGAACCCUAGUGGGGAGGCGCGGAGCUACAGCGAGAGAGAGAGAGAGAGAGGAGGCGGACACAAAAGCAAAGUUGAAUUUAUGAGCACAAUCUUUACAGCAAAAUCAAUUUUUCUAAAGGAGUCAGGAAAUGAAUUUUUACUCAAAAAAAACAAACGUCUAAUAACAUUUUAAAUACUUAAAUAUAUAACCAUAAUAACAAGUUAAUUAGUAAUUACAUGAGUAAUUUAACUAUUCGAUUAAUUAUUAAUAAUAUUACUAAUUAGUGUAGCUAAUAUAAGAACAAUAACAACACACAAAUUGGAAAAUUGGAAAGAAAAAACUAAGUUGAGAUAUGUUGGUUAGACUUUGUUCGCUUUAUUACGUCUGGCGAAGACGCUGAUGGCGAGUAAUGGAUGUUUAGCUUGGACAUCUUAUCCUCACCUCCAUCGUUUUCGUCGAACAAUGGACGUUUCACAGUUGCAUUCCAACUUAUUUCUUUUUAUUUGUUAUUGCAAUUUGCAAGGGAUCAUCGAAUGCAGGAGCUGCUUUAGAUGGUGAGAUCUAUGCUUCGGCAAUUCGCGGCAGGUUGGAGCGUGUUGUUUGAGGAGGUGCGGAAGGAGCCACCACAUUGUUGGGGUUGGGAUUAUUGCGGUGUAGUUCGGAGGAGGAUAGUGGUUGCCUGUGGUGGUGCUUGGUGGAGGUGGACAUUGUUAUCGAAGAAGGUUCAAAUCGUCGGAAAAUUGUUGAGAUCAAAUAGGGUAAUUAAGUCAUUUAAUCUCUUUUAAGACGAAAAAAUUUCAAAAUUGUAAGGCAAAGAAUAAUAACACCCAAAUUUUACCAUCACACUACUUUCUUUCAUCAAAUACUCCAUUUUUUCUUUCUGGUUCCAUUAUUUACUUGGAAUUGCAUCUCUCAAGUAUUUACUUGUCAAUUGUAAAUGAUGUAUACUUGUCAAUAGUUUAGUAACAGUAAGGUGACAUUGGUUCUACUGCACAAAUGUUACUCAGACAGAUCUACUUCAUUUCUAUCCAAAAGGAAUCGCUGCUAAUUGCUAGGAUUAGCUACUAUGGAUGGAGAGGAAUCAAUAUUCGACAAUGUGUAUCUAGCCCGAACAAUUUUUAAAUUUGAUGCAGGAUCAUAAGGAUCCGCGAUGUAAUAUCCCCGUUCAUUGUCCAAAACCUUGGUAGAUAGUUCAUUUGGGACAGGGGCACACUCUUUGAACGGGAAUUUUGAAGGUUCGACCUCGAUUGAACCUCUAACCUAUAAACUUCUAGCUCAUUUGGUUCGACGUCCGGUUUGAUUCUAAUAACAACGAACUCAACAACAUCAGUAAGACUAUCAAGGUCUCCGACUCUUAUGUACUCUUAUAAAUAUCUAGGCCAACACAUGAGCAGAUUAUUGAAUACCGUGCAACUAACGCGUUACGCCGAAAUGAACGAUAACCCAUAUGAGUAUUGGCUCAGAGCAGACUACUUAACUUAUGGAUCAUUGUCAAUAACUAAUCAUAAUUUAUAACAAGUUAUAAGAUCCAAUAACCUGUUAUAACACAAGCGAGCCGUGAAAGUGUCUUUUGAUGCUUACCAGAAACUCGCCAAUGACACAGGGAUCACAACCGAAACUCGUCGAACAAUAAGGUAAGUGUCGUUGGAAAAAGUUGCUAGCAUAAAAAGAGAUAUUUCUGUCAGUUAUAAAACAGAGAAUUCAGUAAAUCUUUAAUCUCAGAUUAAUUCUGUCAGUAAAAUCACAUAUAUAUAUACCAUUCAAUCAAAGAAAAGAUAGCACAAACUCAAUAAUUAACAGAUGCUGCAAAGGAAAUUCUGACAAUGAAUGAAUGAAUGCAUGAUGUAUUGAUAUAUAAUCUUUAGACUUGGAGUGCUUUAUAGAGAGAUAACAAAAGUUUCGAAAACAAAAACAAAUGAAUAAUGCAAUGCAAGACUCUUCAAGUAUAUUCCGCACAAAUGAAGGUAGAAUGGUACAACCUGACCAUAUGACAACAGAUACAAACAAUGACAGAUGCAGUAAAACACAGGAACACCCAUCGAGACCUUACGACUUGGAACGACGGACCAACCCUACAUGCAAUCGUGCGACGAUUCCUUGCGCCAGACUCAGCACCUAUCAUCAACAAACUCAAAUGUCCAUGACCGACUUGCACCAACUCCAUGCAAUAUGAAUGAUGACACUUUUUCGACCCUUAUUUCCAACUGGUUGUUGACUUCAAAACGAUGUUUGCAGCCAAUCAAAUGCCUCCGAGCCGAGCCGACCCCUCGAGCGGGUGCUGAUUCAAGAGCUAGUGACAAAACUGGACACCCCGAGUAACUUGUGUUACUAGAAAAAUGCCGAGACAAACCCAGGACCUGACUGACUCAAGAUACCCCAAUGCAUGCAUGCAGGACUCUAAAACGAAAGACCAUGCCGAGCUUGGCAAAUAACCUCUCAAGCAGAUAUGGCACGAGUGAUCGCCAGCUUCGUCCAUUCAGCAGAUUCCUUUAUCGAGCCGUCUUCUGAAGAUAAGCAUUCAUUCAAAAAGUCUCUGCUAGAGAGAGAAUUCUGUAUCAUAGUUCCGGCAUUGCUUCCAAGUGUGUCUGCCAAGUCUCCAAGUACGCCAAUAGCUGUUUUCAUCACCAAAUCAUCCCUGCAUGAAUUCAACCAAGUUAAAAAGGUCAAUUUACAGUCAGUGACAAACACUGAUAUUUUUCAUCGAGUGCAAAAUUGAGAAUCAAGAUAAAGAUAGGCUACUCACAUGUCUUUCUCCAUGUAUAUGCUAUCCAAGAACUGGAGAAUGUGUGGUGCAUAAGGGAUCAACAGCUGGGUUUUAGUUGAGUUCUUAAACCCUUGAAAUAUUCCAGAAUAAGCCUCCAAGAUUCCGUUUCUGAGAGAAUUCGUAUAUUCGACCAUGUCAUCAUCAGCACCUGUAGUAUGAGCAGACAAUUCGGCAGCACUUUGGAGCAUUGGCAUGGCGUACAUCAGAUAUUUUUCAAAGUCUUGGCCUAUUGCCAGUGCAACGUCGCCAAGACAGGAGAAUAUAGGCGGCUUAACGGAUCGAUGCAACUGAUUGCUUGACAAAUCCUUCAGAAGCUGUGUCAUGAUCCCGUCACAAUAAGGUAGAACUUUAUUUUCCAACGCCCUGCAAAUAUCGCCUACCACUCCAACAGUAACAGCACACACCUGGUAUUCUUCAAAAUUUUGAAGGCCGAUCUCCAAGUACUUGUAAAGUUCUGGCAUGUACUUGUCAAAUUUUGGGCCACAUGCAUAGGCAAGGGCUCCAAUAGCAAGCACGGCUUCCUCAUGCACAGUUGCGCUUUUAGAAGCAAACACCCUAAGGAACAGACCCAUUAUCUGGUCUGCAUACUGCAUAAAAAGAUACUUAGUUGGCUCCGACGAGCUUAGCUUCUGAACAAGGACCUGUAAACACCCACAAAGAAGACCUUGUUGUUUCUCCCUCUCAUCAGAUGAAAGGUUCUGACCCUCGAGUGUAUUGUGAAGUUCCAUCAUUAUCACAGGAACAAGUUGCAACACCGUAGGAGUAGUUUCGUCUGUUGAACACCUAACCACUUCAUUAAGUGUUUCAUAGGCAGCNNNNNNNNNNNNNNNNNNNNNNNNNNNNNNNNNNNNNNNNNNNNNNNNNNNNNNNNNNNNNNNNNNNNNNNNNNNNNNNNNNNNNNNNNNNNNNNNNNNNNNNNNNNNNNNNNNNNNNNNNNNNNNNNNNNNNNNNNNNNNNNNNNNNNNNNNNNNNNNNNNNNNNNNNNNNNNNNNNNNNNNNNNNNNNNNNNNNNNNNNNNNNNNNNNNNNNNNNNNNNNNNNNNNNNNNNNNNNNNNNNNNNNNNNNNNNNNNNNNNNNNNNNNNNNNNNNNCCUUUGUCUCCAAUCAGUUUUUGUUAUGUUCUCUUCAAUGAAUGGCAUAACAAGGGGAACAAUAUCAUCUCCCACAGUACGUGCAACAAGUCCAAGACAUGUUCCUCCUGCCAUUGCAAUAUUCCAAGCAGUGUCAUCUUUGUCCUGAUCUUCCUCUUGCUUCAAAAGUGUUUCCAACAAAAUUGGUACAAGAACAGUCAAAGCUUGCUUGACAAAAUAGGAACAUUGAACGGCAUCCGAGUCCGCAGUAAACUCUACCCCAUACUCUUCUAAGAUGUCUAUCUCCUCAUCACAAAUUGAAUUCCAGAAUUCAAUUGCUUGGAGAGCUACAUCUUCUUCAUCUUCCCUCACGGCUUUUGAUGUGAUAUUGAAGAUGUCUUGCAUAUAUGGAGUUAGCUUCUCAUAAUACAUUGAUGCAAUAGAUACCAAACACUCAAAAGCUGCCAGGCGGAUCUUCAAUUCUUUCGACAAAGCAGCCUCACAGACAACUCUCAUGAUAUAAUCACGUUCCAUGUCAUUGCUGAAAUUCGCUUGAGCAAAGCUCAGAGCAUUAUAUAAUGCUUGAAUAGCAGCCAGUCUCACAUCAGUGUUUACUUCAGAAGAACUCAUUCCUUGAACUACCACAGUCAAGAUUUUAUUCACGUUAUCCUGAUCAACAGCAUCCGGAGAAACUUCCUCGCACAAAUACCCAAGAGUCUCCAACGUUGCUUCUUUGACAUGAGCAGGUAGCUGAUGAACAUUCGACAAAAGGGAUCCAAUCAAUUCAGGCCACUGUUUCUGCGGGAGCUCAAUUCCAGCAACUUUAGCGAUUACUUGAGCUGCAGGUUUACGAGCAUCAGGUACAAGAGACGAGAGUGUCUUCAACAAGCAUGAUUUUAUCUGAGCCUUCACAGUAGCAUCCAACAUCAACCAUCUCUGAACAAGCUCAAACUUCCUGUGCUGCUCUUUAGCAUCCAGCGCAUUUUUCAACAUCAAACCAGCUAAUCUGCGGCUAUCAGCAG
rnacentral:lncRNA from 1 species